UAUAUAUUUGAAUUUAAUGAACAGGUAAUAUCAGUACAGUUCCUGUGUUUAUCAUCACUACAUUAAAUUGCACUACAAUUAUGUGAUGCCAGUGUUAAUUCAUUUGUUUGUCAGAAACAAAUUCAGUUGACUGGUUAAUUUUUUUUUGCACAAAAGGUACAUUAAUACAUAAUAACAAAUAAUUGAUACAUAAUAAUAAAAACGACUACAUCAUUGUUUCUUACACACCAAUCCAAUGUUACAAAGGUAAUGUAAUUAUCUGGAUGAUUCAAACAACUUCAGUUAUAUGGAUGAUUAAAGCAGCUUCAGUUACUUAUUUUCUCUAAGUAAAGUGAAACAAAACUUGAAUUUCAGAUGAACUUGACAUUCAAUAAAGGAAUGUAUCCUACAUUCAUUUCAUGCAUUACACACUUAAUGUAGCAGUUGUUUUUAUAACACAGUACAUGUCAGGCAUUUUAUGCUUAAGAGCAUAUUCGUUUGACCAUCAUAGCUUAAGCUGGUGAACUACAAACCGAUAGAGAAAGAUAGAGAAAGAAUUCAGAAGAGAUGGGAAUGAUUAUGUUUGAUUUCAGAAUGGGCAGUAUCCUAAUCUUUGUAAGAACGAUUAUGAUUAAGAAAUUGGUUUUACUUAAUUCAAGCAUAUAUUGUCAAUUUCAAUGCAGUUUUUAUCUUCUAACAAUCACAAUUCAGUGGUGGGCUGCUAGAUUUAUUGCAGUAGGUUCGAAUAACAAAGAAGUUUUAUGGAGAUUCUUCAGGGGCUCAAAUUGGAAUCCAUGGGGGAAAGUAAAACCCUUUUUGAGGAACACUACUAAGAAAAAUUAGAGAACCAGCAUUUGAAGCUGACUGCAUAACGAUUCUUUUGCCGCCAACUUACUUUUCAUAGUACCACGAAGACCACAUGUGAGAAUUUAGGGCUCCCACAGAGGCACAAAGACAGGAAAGGAAAGGAAAUAGAUAGCACUGAUACAGGGUAUCCUCUGCCAGACACCAUAUGCUGGCUUGUGGAGUAUGUAUAUAGAUACAGAUGUACAAAAUCUUUUCUUUGAUACACAUAAUAUAGUGCACAUUGAAUGAAGCAUCUACUUUUAUAUUUGCAGCUUUUGUGAUUAUCUCUUUACUUAAGUAUUUUUCAUAAAAGAAAAAAAUGCCUUCCUAUCAGUGUCAAUGAUUCCAAUCAAUCUAUCAGCAACAGCUGAAUUGUGACUCCUAAUUCACAUAUUAAAUACUAAACACAGUAUCUGUUAGAAUAAUUCAUGUGUUUCCAUCAAGUAAGGGUGUUUAUUAAUACAGCAGCUGUCUUUUAAAUACUGCCUCACAAAAUACAUACAUGUUAUACAUACCUAGUACUUUUUGUUAUAGCUAUAUAUUAUUUACUAUUACCAUUCAAAAAUUUCCAUUAAUAGACAAAUUCUACUUUGGGGAUACAAGAAAUUGCAUAAUAAAUAUUACACAAAUCAAAUAUGAAACUCUCUCUAAAAUACUGUAUUACACACUUAAAACAUUUUUUGGCACAGGCAUAAUAUGAGCUACUUACCCUAUGUUGGCAUAUGUAUAAAUAUUAUGGCAUUUAUUAGUUUAAGUGUAUGAUGAGUCAUUUAAGUUCCUUAAGUCUACAUUAGUCACAAAAGAAUAACUGCAAUUCUUAGUAAUGCUUGGGUGUGACUUAUUCUAUUUGCUAUAAUAACGUGAUUAAUUCUUAGAGUCUUUCAUUCACUGAAGAUACUUUGUGUAUAGUAACAUAUUUCUAAGAAUAAAUAUAAUUUUAGUUGAAUUAUUUAGUUCUAUAUGGAGCCUGAAUCAUGUAACUCAUGCAUCAGCUAUGAUUACAGGUUUGGUUGAAACACACACAUCAAAUAUUAGAUACAAAGCAUAUUUUGACAUUCAUUUCUAUUAAUUUACAUCCACAAAGUAAAUAUUUUGUCUCAGAAACGCUGAAGUGUGUCAACAGAAAAAUUCUUUGAUUCUUUCAUUCAUGUAAGGUACUACAUACAUAUUAUCAUAUUUCUUAGGGAAUAUGUAAUUUAGGCCUAGAUUUGUCUGUUAUUUUAUUAAUAAAUUCGAGCUUAUUCAGUUGUAGAUUUUAUAUUGAAUGGUGCAGAGUAGAAUUGUCAAUACGCUGGUAUGUAAAUUUAGCUAUAUUACUUCAUUACUACACAGUUUCUACUCUGUUGCUAGACUAAUUCUCUUUGCUAGACUAAUUCUCUUUGCUAGACUAAUUCUCUUUGCUAGACUAAUUCUCUUUACUAGACUAAUUCUCUUUACUAGACACAAAAUCACUCUUACUUUACUCAAGAUGAUUACAUUUUCAAAUUGUACUAAUGCUUAACAUAGUAUUUGUUGAUAUAAACAUGACUUACACUACUUCCCUCAAGGAAAAUCAGUGCAUCAAUAAACAGUUCUUUCUAGCACUACAUCUGAUUAUAUUCUUAGUAUUAUAAGAAAUAGUUUAACUAUGGUUUUGUAUGCACAUAUAAAGCUGAUAUUACCAUUUUUUGCCAUAUUAUAUUUUAAAUUGCCUUACAUUCUAAUUGCAAUGGUAUGUUGUUUAUAGGUAAUUGUAUUUUCCUCAAAGUCCCAGAAAUUUCAUCUGCUCUAUUUAAACAGUUACAUGAUUACUGAUACAUAUAGUAUGUCACACGAUAUUUGAUACUUCAAUUACUUUUCAUUGUUUUCAGUUGAGUCUUUUUACUAUGAGGACUCCCGUUUUCUAAUACAAACCCCCAACACUUCACAUUAUUUUACUAAUAAUAUUUAAAUUAUGAUUUCUUGCAAACAUGUCAAUAGCACAUUUAAAGGAGUACAAAAUUCAGUUCUCUCAUGUAGCGGUGUUUAUUAACAUGGCAGGUGUCUUAUUUGAAGCCUCAAAAACAUAAAUCAAUCAUAUUUAUUAGGGAAAAUUUAAGUUUAGGUCUAGAUUUGCCUGUUAUUUUAUUCAUAAAUUCGAUAUUAAUCACUUGUAGAUUUUAUAUUGAAUGGUGCAAACUGGAUAUGUUAUAAGAUGGAUGUAAAUUUAGUUAAAUUACUUUCUUACUACACAGUUUCUACUCUAUUACUACACUAAUUCUAUUACUAGACUAAUUCUCGUUACUGGACACAAAAUCACUCUUAAUUUACUCAAGAUCAUCAAAUGAUUACAUUUUCAAAUUGAACUGCAGAUUAAAUGCUUAACAUACUAUUUGUUGAUAUAAACAAGACUUACACUACCUCCAUCAAAGAAAAUCGGUGCAUCAAUAAAUAGUUUUUUCUAGCACAAUAUCUGAUUAUAUUCUUAAUAUUAUAUGAAACAGUUUAGCUAUGGUUUUGUAUGCACAUAUAAAGCAGACACUACCAUUUUUGGCCAUAUUAUAUUUGAAAUUGCCUUACAUUCUAAUUGCAAUGAUAUAUAUUUUUAAUGGGUAAUUGUAGUUUCCUCAAAGUCCCAGAAGUGCCAUCUGCUGUACUUAAACAGUUACAUGAUUACUGAUACAUAUAGUACGUCAUACGAUAUUUGAUACUUCAAUUACUUUUCAUUGUUUUCAGUUGAGUCUUUUUACUAUGAGGACUCCCGUUUUCUAAUACAAACCCCCAACACUUCACAUUAUUUUACUAAUAAUAUUUAAAUUAUGAUUUCUUACAAACUUGACAAUAGCAUACAUGAACACAAGAUUUACCGGAAUAAGCAGGUCUCUUACGUAGCAGUGUUUAUUAAUUCAGCAAUUGUCUUGUGUGGCGCUUCAAAAAUAUCUAUCACUUUCCUUCUGACAAUCGACGGUUCGUUUACUAGAGUAUUUUCUAUACAUUCCUAAAUGUUUCACCCACCAUAUUUAAGACUAUUAAUAUGAAACACACAGAUAUAAACUAUUACUCCUUAUUUUUGUACUUAUUCUUAAGAUUACAUUGAAUAAUUUAAGUAUUGUCUUUUAUGUGCGCAUAAAUUUGACAUACUUUGACAUUAUCAUAUCUUCAGUUGCUAUACUAUAUGAAUAAAAAUGUCCUACAUUUCAGUAGUAAUUGUCUCUUCUUUUAACUUGUCGAUGUGUCAGUUAUCUAGUCCUAACUACAAAAGGCAUAAUUCUUACACUCAUAUUAAGCACUAUUCACAUAAUAUAUUUAUUGUGUUAACAGCAUAUCUAAUUUUACAUACCUAACCCUGUAAUUGGCUGCAUUUUUUGGCCUAGUUAAUUAUCUACUAGGAAACAGAGCUUUACAUUUGAAAGAAUGUGUGUGUUAUCCUGCAUAGCCACCUUCAUAUUAGAUUCUCUGUUGACUAAGAUUAUUAACUAAUACCUAACAUAUCUAUCAAAUCUUACACCAAUAAUAUACAGUUUUUGUAGUAACUGUAGUUAAGUUGAGUUUUGUCUGCCAGAGUGUUUUUCAUUCAUAGAUUACCUCAUUUGCUGUCAAUGACACGGAUAUUCUUGUGAUUGUUGUAGUAGAAAAUUAAGAAAUUAUUUCUUUUACACAUUUAAGAUUUAACACUUUGAAGAUGGUACAUGGACCAUAGCUUUUUAAUAAGACAUUUUUUGUUUUACAGAUCAGAAAGUUAUCUGUAGUAGUUUGUAUUCAAUUAUACAUUUCUAAUGGUGUAUAUCUUAUCACACAUGAUCACAAAAGAAAUUGAGAAACAGAACCACAUUAUCAAAAAAUCUGGACUACAUAAAAUAUUUUGUUUUAAAAACCAUGACUGGUUUCGGCCAGUAUAUGAUUAUCCUCAGACCAUUACACACAAGGAGUGUUAGUCCCCAAACCAUUAUAUACAAGGAGUAUGUAAUGGUGUGAGGAUAACCAGAUAUUGGUCAGAACCAGUCACCAUUUUGUAAAAUAAUAUAUUUUGUGUGUUCUAGAUUGUUUUUAUUAUAUUUUUAGUAGUACUCUGUUACCACUGACAUUUCCUAAAACAAUAUUUCAAAGAAUUUUAGAGUCAGAUUAAAUGUUGACUUGUGGAUUAUCACAAACAACUUGCAGUAAGUAUAUUUUUGAGUGACAACAGUCCCCACUAAUCAUUCAUGACAGGAUGUUACCCACAUAUUUUCCUUCUGUUGACCAAAUUUAAGUAGCUGAGAUAACCAAACAUAGCUCAUGGGCUCAGUGAUCGGUUCAUGCCCGCUGGUACCUUUAUAGUCCUUAUAUUUAAAAAUUAGGAUAGGCUUUAUUGGUUGAACUGCUAAAAAAAUGCAUUAUCAGGUAAUCAUACUGAGAAAUAAUCUGUCAUUGAAAUACAUUUCCAAAGUACCAAGUAAGUAGUGUUCUGAUGUCUGGUAACUCCUCACAAAUAACGUCUGCACCUUGCAAUUCAGGGUUGGUGCUCUAAGAUGGUCGUCUAGCAGUGAACUUAAAAGUGAAGAUUUUGAUGUUCUAAUAGAUUCGUUCUUUAAGGAAUUCUACUACUACCGCAUCACUAAGAAAAUUUGCUGUCUCACUGGAAGUGCCUGAAGAAGUGUUAGAUUAAAAGUUUUCCAUCAGCGGGUUGGACGUGGGUCAAAUGAAAGAACAAUGAGUGCUGUCAGGGCGACUCCCUUGCCAGUAGUCCAUUCUAUCUUAAGAAGAUUCUUCAGUAUGAUCUGAGCCCACCAAAAGUUAUUUCACUCAAUAUCACUCAUGGCAGUUCCUUUAUGAUAUCACAGCAGCAGCUGUUACUAUAUGCUGAACAGUUGAGAUGUUCCAGCAAAUGUUAA